GUGAACGCUGGCGGUAGGCCUAACCCAUGCAAGUCGAACGGCAGCACAGUAAGAGCUUGCUCUUACGGGUGGCGAGUGGCGGACGGGUGAGGAAUACAUCGGAAUCUACUUUUUCGUGGGGGAUAACGUAGGGAAACUUACGCUAAUACCGCAUACGACCUACGGGUGAAAGCAGGGGAUCUUCGGACCUUGCGCGAUUGAAUGAGCCGAUGUCGGAUUAGCUAGUUGGCGGGGUAAAGGCCCACCAAGGCGACGAUCCGUAGCUGGUCUGAGAGGAUGAUCAGCCACACUGGAACUGAGACACGGUCCAGACUCCUACGGGAGGCAGCAGUGGGGAAUAUUGGACAAUGGGCGCAAGCCUGAUCCGGCCAUACCGCGUGGGUGAAGAAGGCCUUCGGGUUGUAAAGCCCUUUUGUUGGGAAAGAAAAGCAGCAGGUUAAUACCCCGCUGUUCUGACGGUACCCAAAGAAUAAGCACCGGCUAACUUCGUG
rnacentral:rRNA from 1 species